rnacentral:piRNA from 1 species
UACAAGUAUUGGACUGCUGCCUUGGUACA